CCUACGGGAGGCAGCAGUGAGGAAUAUUGGUCAAUGGGCGGGAGCCUGAACCAGCCAAGUCGCGUGAGGGAUGACGGCCCUAUGGGUUGUAAACCGCUUUUGCCCGGGGGCAACAUGCCCCACUUGUGCGGUUCGGCGAGUACCCGGAGAAAAAGCAUCGGCUAACUCCGUGCCAGCAGCCGCGGUAAUACGGAGGACGCGAGCGUUAUCCGGAUUUAUUGGGUUUAAAGGGUGCGUAGGCGGACGCUCAAGUCAGCGGUAAAAUUGCGGGGCUCAACCUCGUCGCGCCGUUGAAACUGGGUGCCUUGAGUGCGCGAGAGGUACGCGGAAUGCGUGGUGUAGCGGUGAAAUGCAUAGAUAUCACGCAGAACCCCGAUUGCGAAGGCAGCGUACCGGCGCCCGACUGACGCUGAAGCACGAAGGCGCGGGUAUCGAACAGGAUUAGAUACCCUAGUAGUC
rnacentral:rRNA from 1 species